AGAGUUUGAUCCUGGCUCAGGAUGAACGCUGGCGGCGUGCCUAAUACAUGUAAGUCGAACGGACUGAUAGCAAUAUUGGUGAGUGGCGAACGGGUGAGUAGCGCGUGGGUGACCUGCCCCGAAGCGGGGGAUAACAGCUCGAAAGGGCUGCUAAUACCCCAUGAGUUCCCGGGGGUUAGAGAACCGGGAAGAAAGGAGCAAUCCACUUUGGGAGGGACCUGCGACCCCUCAGCUAGUUGGUAAGGUAACGGCCUACCAAGGCGACGACGGGUAGGGGGCCUGAGAGGGUGACCCCCCACACUGGCACUGAAACACGGGCCAGACACCUACGGGUGGCAGCAGUAGGGAAUAUUGCACAAUGGGCGCAAGCCUGAUGCAGCAACGCCGCGUGCGCGAUGAAGGCCUUCGGGUCGUAAAGCGCUUUUCUGGAGGAGGAGGAAGGACCGUACUCCAGGAAGAAGUCUCGGCUAACUACGUGCCAGCAGCCGCGGUAAAACGUAGGAGACAAGCGUUAUCCGAAUUUACUGGGCGUAAAGCGCGUGCAGGUGGUUUGGCAAGUGGAAUGUGAAAUCUCCUGGCUCAACUGGGAGGGGCCGUUCCAAACUGCCGGACUAGAGGGCGGUAGAGGGAGGUGGAAUUCCCGGUGUAGUGGUGAAAUGCGUAGAUAUCGGGAGGAACACCUGUGGCGAAAGCGGCCUCCUGGACCGUACCUGACGCUCAGACGCGAAAGCUAGGGGAGUGAACGGGAUUAGAAACCCCGGUAAUCCUAGCCGUAAACGAUGUGGACUGGGUGUCGGUGGGGUAAAAGCCAUCGGUGCCGAAGCCAACGCGAUAAGUCCACCGCCUGGGGACUACGGCCGCAAGGUUAAAACUUAAA
rnacentral:rRNA from 1 species